rnacentral:rRNA from 1 species
AGGGUUCGAGUUCUGGCUCAGGAGUGAACGCUAGCGGCAGGCCUAACACAUGCAAGUCGAGGGGUAACAGGGGGUAGCAAUACCCUGCUGACGACCGGCGCACGGGUGCGUAACGCGUAUGCAACCUGCCCCGUACAGGGGUAUAACGGAGAGAAAUUUCCACUAAUUCCCCAUGGAGACACCGGGAUGCAUGUUCUGGUGUCUAAAGCCUAGGUGGUACGGGAUGGGCAUGCGUGACAUUAGGUAGUUGGUGGGGCAACGGUCCACCAAGCCCACGAUGUCUAGGGGAGCUGAGAGGCUAGUCCCCCCACACUGGUACUGAGACACGGACCAGACUCCUACGGGAGGCAGCAGUGAGGAAUAUUGGUCAAUGGUGGGAACACUGAACCAGCCAUGCCGCCGUGAGGGAGGAAGGCCCUAUGGGUUGUAAACCUCUUUUGACGGGGGUCAAUAAGCGCCGUGCGCGGCGUGAUGAGCGUACCCGUCGAAUAAGCAUCGGCUAACUCCGUGCCAGCCGCGGC